UUUUUUUAAUUGUUCAUGAACAUUAACAAUGUGUUAACUGUUGAUAUUUAUAGCCUUUUUCUUCUUCGCUGUGAAUACCACUGUCACUCUAAUAUAAUUAUAAUCAAUUUAACUAUUGUCAGUUUAUUGUCUUAAUUUUGUAUGCCAUAACCAUUUAAUGUAAAUGUGUUUGUGCGAAUAAAAUAUUGUCUAUUGUCUAUUGUCUAUU
rnacentral:lncRNA from 1 species